ACUCUGUUGGCCUAAGUGGUUAUAGCAUCUGCCUCAGAUGCAGGAUGUCAUGGGUUCAAACUCUAGUUAUAGCA